GACGAACGCUGGAGGCGUGCUUAACACAUGCAAGUCGAACGAUGAAAUGGAGCUUGCUCCAUGGAUUAGUGGCGAACGGGUGAGUAACACGUGAAUAACCUGCCCUUAAUUUUGGAAUAACCCAGGGAAACCUGGGCUAAUACCGGAUAAGUAAACCUGUGGCAUCACAUGGUUUUGGAAAGUUUUUCGAUUAAGGAUGGAUUCGCGGCCUAUCAGCUUGUUGGUGACGUAAUUGCUAACCAAGGCGACGACGGGUAGCCGGCCUGAGAGGGUGAACGGCCACAGUGGGACUGAGACACGGCCCAGACGCCUACGGGAGGCAGCAGUGGGGAAUAUUGCACGAUGGGCGCAAGCCUGAUGCAGCAACGCCGCGUGAGGGAUGACGGCCUUCGGGUUGUAAACCUCUUUUAGUAGGGAAGAAGCGAAAGUGACGGUACCUGCAGAAAAAGCACCGGCUAACUACGUGCCAGCAGCCGCGGUAA
rnacentral:rRNA from 1 species